AUUUAAAAGGAUAGUGUUAUCCCAACUAUCUGGUGGCUUCCAUUUGGAACUUUGUGCACGGCACAUGCCAUAUUUGGGGAAAGAAUGCAUAAAAUAUGCAUCACUAAUAUUGUUCUGGCAAACAGGCAUUGAGUUUCAGAACAGUGAACUAUUUUUAGUACGUAUGGCAAUUUAUUUCAUCUUAUUAAAGUGAGAUGAGAACAGAUUUUAAAAUAGCUUUUACUUCACCAACUAAAUACCUAUUCAGAUUAGUUGGUUAAAUAGCCAACACUUUGAUGUAAUAUAGCCUUAAAAAAAUCAGUGUUGCUUUUAAUUAAAGAAAAGUAUCUUGCUACCUUUGUGCUUCUAUUUAAUGCAUUAUGAAUUUGAAUUUAUUUCCUUGAAAUAACAUGAUGUCAUUAUUGAAAAAGAAAAUGUUAUGAUUUCCUUUUGA
rnacentral:lncRNA from 1 species